CGGAGGAAAAGAAACCAACAGGGAUUGCCUCAGUAACGGCGAGUGAAGCGGCAAAAGCUCAAAUUUGAAAUCUGGUACCUUCGGUGCCCGAGUUGUAAUUUGAAGAUUGUACUCUGGAGUUGGCCCUUGUCUAUGUUCCUUGGAACAGGACGUCACAGAGGGUGAGAAUCCCGUGCGAUGGGGUGUCCAAUUCCAUGUAGAGUGCUAUCGAAGAGUCGAGUUGUUUGGGAAUGCAGCUCUAAGUGGGUGGUAAAUUCCAUCUAAAGCUAAAUAUUGGCGAGAGACCGAUAGCGAACAAGUACAGUGAUGGAAAGAUGAAAAGAACUUUGAAAAGAGAGUGAAAAAGUACGUGAAAUUGUUGAAAGGGAAGGUUAUUAGAUCAGACUUGGUGUUUGGCGAUAUUCAGCCUCUUGUAGGCUGUUCACUCGUCUUUCACUGGGCCAGCAUCGGUUUGGAUGGCAGGAUAAUGGCUGUUGAACGUGGCUCUUCGGAGUGUUAUAGCUUCAGCUGAUACUGCCUAUCUAGACCGAGGACUGCGGCUUUCGAGCCUAGGAUGCUGGCGUAAUGAUCUAAUAUCGCCCGUCUU
rnacentral:rRNA from 1 species